UACGUAGGCAGCAAGCGUUGUUCGGAGUUACUGGGCGUAAAGGGUGCGUAGGCGGCUGUUCAAGUUUGGUGUGAAAUCUCCCGGCUCAACCGGGAGGGUGCGCCGAAUACUGAGCGGCUAGAGUGCGGGAGAGGAAAGUGGAAUUCCUGGUGUAGCGGUGAAAUGCGUAGAUAUCAGGAGGAACACCGGUGGUGUAAACGGCUUUCUGGACCGUAACUGACGCUGAGGCACGAAAGCGUGGGUAGCAAACAGG
rnacentral:rRNA from 1 species